ensembl:snRNA U6 U6 spliceosomal RNA
GUGCUCACUUUGGGCACAUAUAGUAAAACUGGAAUGAUACAGAGAAGAUUACCAUGGCCCUUGUGCAAAUAUUACAUGCAAAUUUGUGAAGUGUUCCAUUUAUAU